AGGGAAUCUUCGGCAAUGGACGGAAGUCUGACCGAGCAACGCCGCGUGAGUGAAGAAGGUUUUCGGAUCGUAAAGCUCUGUUGUAAGAGAAGAACGAGUGUGAGAGUGGAAAGUUCACACUGUGACGGUAUCUUACCAGAAGGGGACGGCUAACUACGUGCCAGCAGCCGCGGUAAUACGUAGGUCCCGAGCGUUGUCCGGAUUUAUUGGGCGUAAAGCGAGCGCAGGCGGUUAGAUAAGUCUGAAGUUAAAGGCUGUGGCUUAACCAUAGUACGCUUUGGAAACUGUUUAACUUGAGUGCAAGAGGGGAGAGUGGAAUUCCAUGUGUAGCGGUGAAAUGCGUAGAUAUAUGGAGGAACACCGGUGGCGAAAGCGGCUCUCUGGCUUGUAACUGACGCUGAGGCUCGAAAGCGUGGGGAGCAAACAGGAUUAGAUACCCUGGUAGUCCACGCCGUAAACGAUGAGUGCUAGGUGUUAGACCCUUUCCGGGGUUUAGUGCCGCAGCUAACGCAUUAAGCACUCCGCCUGGGGAGUACGACCGCAAGGUUG
rnacentral:rRNA from 1 species